rnacentral:tRNA from 1 species
GCAUCCAUGGCUGAAUGGUUAAAGCACCCAACCAUAAUUGGCGAAUCGUAGGUCAAUUCCUACUGGAUCA